AGCGAACGCUGGCGGUAGACCUAACACAUGCAAGUCGAACGGCAACACAGUAAGUGUUUGCUCUUACGGGUGGCGAGUGGCGUACGUGUGAGGAAUACAUCCGACUCUACUUUUUCGUGGGGCUUAACGUAGGGAAACUUACUCUAAUACCGCAUACGCCCUUCCGUUGUAAGCAGUGGAUCUUCUCACCUUGUGCGGUUGGAUGAGCCGAUGUCGGAUUAGCUAGUUGGCGGGGUAAAGGCCCACCAAGGCGACGAUCCGUAGCAGGACUGAGAGGAUGGUCAGCCGCACUGGAAGGGAGACAGGGACCAGAGGCCUGAGGGAGGCAGCAGUGGGGAAUAGGGGGCAAUGGGGGGGAGCCUGAGCCAACCGGACCGCGUGGGUGGAGAAGACGUUCGGGUCGUGAAGACGUUUUGUGGGGAAUGAAAAGCAGCAGGUUGAGACGAAGCGGGAGUGACGGUACCGAAAAAAGAAGCACCGGCUAACUACGUG
rnacentral:rRNA from 1 species